UUAAAAGUUCGGGGNUUAACCCCGUGAUGGGAUGGAAACUGCUGAUCUAGAGUAUNGGAGAGGAAAGUGGAAUUCCUAGUGUAGCGGUGAAAUGCGUAGAUAUUAGGAAGAACACCAGUGGCGAAGGCGACUUUCUGGACGAAAACUGACGCUGAGGCGCGAAAGCCAGGGGAGCGAACGGGAUUAGAUACCCCGGUAGUCCUGGCCGUAAACGAUGGGUACUAGGUGUAGGAGGUAUCGACCCCUUCUGUGCCGGAGUUAACGCAAUAAGUACCCCGCCUGGGGAGUACGACCGCAAGGUUGAAACUCAAAGGAAUUGACGGGGGCCCGCACAAGCGGUGGAGUAUGUGGUUUAAUUCGACGCAACGCGGAGAACCUUACCAGGUCUUGACAUUGAUGGACAGAACUAGAGAUGGUUCCUCUUCUUCGGAAGCCAGAAAACAGGUGGUGCACGGUUGUCGUCAGCUCGUGUCGUGAGAUGUUGGGUUAUGUCCCGCAACGAGCGCAACCCCUAUCUUAUGUUGCCAGCACUUUGGGAGGGAACUCAUGAGAGACUGCCGCAGACAGUGCGGAGGAAGGCGGGGAUGACGUCAAAUCAUCAUGCCCCUUAUGACCUGGGCUACACACGUACUACAAUGGGAGAUAAUAGACGGAAGCGAGAUCGCGAGAUGGAGCAAACCCGAGAAACACUCUCUCAGUUCGGAUCGUAGGCUGCAACUCGCCUACGUGAAGUCGGAAUCGCUAGUAAUCGCAGGUCAGCAUACUGCGGUGAAUACGUUCCCGGGCCUUGUA
rnacentral:rRNA from 1 species